GGAAUAUAAAAAUCCGUCUCCUAACUUUUAACUAAAAAAACUAAGAACCGGCUCUUAAAUAGUUUUUUUAAGAGCCGGUUUUUAAGAGCCGGUUUUUUAGUUUUUCUAGUUAAAAGUUAAGAGACGGGUUCUUAUAUUCC
rfam:Brassica napus, WGS project CCCW01000000 data, contig: 17602